UGUGAGUGAGCUUAAUAAAAUUCAGAAAUCGUGUUUUUCUAAUAACAGUGCACCUUUGAGCUUAGAAUGCAUAAAAUCGGGUGAAAAUUGACCUAGACUCCAUAUAUGUAAUUAACAAGUCUCAUUUACCUGAAGGUAUUUCCCUCCCUUCAAUGCUUGCAAUUCGCAAAAGAAUGAAAUAUUCGGUUACACUCGAACUUAGGCCUUCCUUACUUGCUUAGAAUUGAAAUCACAACUUUUUAAACAAAAUGUUAUUUGUUUUAGACACAUAUAGUUUUCAUAAUGGAUUGAUAUUGAAAUUUUAAAUUCAGUAAUUAUUAGUUUAAACUAUAAUAGUAUCUGAAGAAUUCCACAAUUCCUACAUACCGUUCGAUCAAAUGUGACUCGGACUGACAAAAAAAAACACACACAUAAAUAUAGGUUUUUGCUAACUCUGUUGAUUUUUACAACUAAAUUUUAAAAUUGUUGCAAUUUCAAUAUUCAAUAAAUACAAUUUUGACCCUUUGACAUUCUGAUCAAAUUUGAUCCGGACAUCUUUAUUGUCGCCUUCAAAUCUUUCUUACGAAAUCUAUUCGACAUAGUUUUUGCAAACCAUUCAGGCCUUUAAUACGGAUUAACAUGCUUUAUUAUUAAAACAUUAAUCGAAGUGUGUUAAAUCGAUCGAUAAGUGGUGUUGAGAUCCUCUGCACUCUCUCUGAUGCAUUACAAAUAAACUCAUUGUUAAAUGUAAUUCCAAAGUAAUCGGCACAAAAAUGUUUCACGUCGUAAAAAAACACAGCCAAACAAACAGUUAUUGAAAUAUGAUUUGGUUUAAUGUAAAAAAAAAUGUUAUUGUUGUAACAUAGUUUUGAUGCAUCAAAAACACAUUCCACUAUUAAUUUUGGGAGUUGACAGUCUUUGGCCGGAUAAAACUGUCCUGGGAAUGGUGCUUAUUAUACCUACUUAUAUGACUCAUAUACUAAGCAAAAGCACUCUUGAAGUUGUUUAUAUAAUACAAAUGAAGAUACAUCAAUAACAAACGACAGUAUCACCUUGUAUAAGUAAAUUCACAAUAUCCCUAUAAAUAUUUGAAAACACAACAUUUUUCAUAGCUGCAAACUAGUAAAACAAACUGAAAUGGUUAAAGCCGCAAUCAUAUGAACUUGAUAACAAUAUUUAACGUAUUCACCGAUUAGACAGCUGCUAAAGCAACAAAAAAUGGACGAUUGCAAUUUCAGCGGAGCAAGCAGUCUUAGUAGUGAUUACCGUAAAGUUAGAAUACAGCAGAAAGGCAAACAUUUGCAAAAUUAAAUAUCCAUACAUUUAUAUUUAUCUAUAUAGUCUGCAUAAUCAGUGGCGAAUUAUUACUGAUAACAAUUUUAUAAAAACACAAACUUAUAGCUAGUGGUAACAGACAAUUUUGGCUAACAAACCGGCGCCGACGAAUUGGUUCAUGGGAAAAUAAUUGUUGCGCUUUUACUUUGCAAAAAUUUCAGUCCCAGUCAAACAAAAAAAAAUAUGCGAAAACAUUGAAAAGAGUGGCAAAAUCGUCGGCAGAGACGGCAUUGAGCGGCAUUGGGGCUGCAAAGAUGCUAAAAUGUUCACGCGCCUUUAAACGUAGAAAGCAAAUAUGUGAAAGAAAUUAUAUUUUUUUGAAUAUGUACAUACGUAUGUAAAUAGUGUGUGCUGUGAGCUGUGAACCCAUACACAUAUGAGUGAGAUAUUUGCAUUUGCAAUUUUUCGCUUUCCUAAUCUGCAAGUUAAUCUGUAAUCAACAAGAGCGUUUGGCAGUCAGUUAGUUGGCUAGAUGCCUGCUCAAAACGAGUGGGAGAAGCAGAAAUCCAUGAAAAAAUGACACGAACACAAAACCCAGCAAUGCGAGAGAGCAAAACUAAAGCUUAGAUAUUUUAAUGGACUGCAGAUGUAAGCAACAAGGAGAGUUAAUCAUCCGCUGCAAUAUUUCGCAAAGUAGAGGAUAAUAUGUAGAAUAGUGAGCAUAGGAAGCAGAACUUGUAGAUAGAAGGGCAGAAAAUAUAUAAAUGGAAAAUGGAACAAAAAUGAGGGUGUUGAAUCCUACAGCGACAAUUGUGUUGGCAUUCGAACUGAAGCGAUUAAAAGUGCUCUGGGAAAAAUGAGUGACACAUACAUCAUUAAUAUGUUAUGAAAGGUGAAAUCUGCGGAGUAAACGGGUGUGAGUUUCAAGCUUAGUCAAAGGCGCGUUGAAUGUUUGCGAGGUGUUUUGUCGCCGAUACGAGGGGUAUACAUGUAUAAGUUUCCUUUAAUAGAAUGACGUCGACUGUAGUGCACGCGUGUGUGGUACUGACAAAAAUCUAGAUGGGGUAACGAGGGGAGCAGUAAAUGUUGUCAUUAACAAAUUCAAUGCAGAAACAAGUGUAUCUAAUAAAAGUGUGUGCACUACACAAUUGUAGUUUUGAAUUGUUUUUACUAUGAAAUAUGUAUCUGUUGCUGAAAACAAAACAAAAUAAAUUUAAAUGCAAAAAGAGAUAUAAAAUAUAAAUACAUAAAACUGAUCAGUUUUAAAAAUGUUGUUAUGGAAAUUGUUGAAGAAUUUUGAAUAAAAACUGAGAAGUUAAAGCUGAAA